GAUGAACGCUAGCGACAGGCUUAACACAUGCAAGUCGAGGGGCAGCACAGGUAGCAAUACCGGGUGGCGACCGGCGCACGGGUGAGUAACGCGUAUGCAACUUGCCUAUCAGAGGGGGAUAACCCGGCGAAAGUCGGACUAAUACCGCAUGAAGCAGGGAUCCCGCAUGGGAAUAUUUGCUAAAGAUUCAUCGCUGAUAGAUAGGCAUGCGUUCCAUUAGAUAGUUGGUGAGGUAACGGCUCACCAAGUCUACGAUGGAUAGGGGUUCUGAGAGGAAGGUCCCCCACACUGGUACUGAGACACGGACCAGACUCCUACGGGAGGCAGCAGUGAGGAAUAUUGGUCAAUGGGCGAGAGCCUGAACCAGCCAAGUCGCGUGAAGGAUGAAGGAUCUAUGGUUUGUAAACUUCUUUUAUAUGGGAAUAAGUGAGGAACGUGUUCCUUUUGUAUGUACCAUAUGAAUAAGCAUCGGCUAACUCCGUG
rnacentral:rRNA from 1 species